rnacentral:tRNA from 1 species
UCCCGUGUGGUUCAGUUGGUAGAGCAUGGCACUUGUAAUGCCAGUGAUGUGGGUUUGAUUCCCAGGGGGG